GCCUGGGUAGCUCAGUUGUUUAAGUGUCUGACUUUGGCUCAGGUCAUGAUCUCAUGGUUCGUGGGUUCGAGCCCCGCAUUGGGCU
rnacentral:tRNA from 1 species